rnacentral:rRNA from 1 species
UGCAAGUCGUACGGGAGUUUUUAACUCCAGUGGCGGACGGGUGAGUAACACGUGAGUAUUUACCUUUAGGAGGGGGAUAACAGUUGGAAACGGCUGCUAAAACCCCAUAUGCUUUAGAGUCAAAUAGAUUUAUCUGCCUAAAGAAAAGCUCGCGGCUGAUUAGCUAGUUGGUAAGGUAAUGGCUUACCAAGGCGACGAUCAGUAUCUGGUUUGAGAGGACGAUCAGACACACUGGAACUGAGACACGGUCCAGACUCCUACGGGAGGCAGCAGUGGGGAAUUUUCCGCAAUGGGCGAAAGCCUGACGGAGCAAUACCGCGUGAGGGAAGACUGCCUAUGGGUUGUAAACCUCUUUUUUCAGGGAGGAAUAAAUGACGUGUACCUGAAGAAUAAGCAUCGGCUAACUCCGUGCCAGCAGCCGCGGUAAGACGGAGGAUGCAAGUGUUAUCCGGAAUCACUGGGCGUAAAGCGUCUGUAGGUGGUUGUUUAAGUCAACUGUUAAAUCUUGAGGCUCAACCUCAAAAUCGCAGUCGAAACUAUUCAACUAGAGUAUAGUAGGGGUAAAGGGAAUUUCCAGUGGAGCGGUGAAAUGCGUAGAUAUUGGAAAGAACACCGAUGGCGAAGGCACUUUACUGGGCUAUUACUAACACUCA